rnacentral:rRNA from 1 species
GACGAACGCUGGCGGCGUGCCUAAUACAUGCAAGUUGAGCGCUGAAGGUUGGUACUUGUACCGACUGGAUGAGCAGCGAACGGGUGAGUAACGCGUGGGGAAUCUGCCUUUGAGCGGGGGACAACAUUUGGAAACGAAUGCUAAUACCGCAUAAAAACUUUAAACACAAGUUUUAAGUUUGAAAGAUGCAAUUGCAUCACUCAAAGAUGAUCCCGCGUUGUAUUAGCUAGGUGGUGAGGUAAAGGCUCACCAAGGCGAUGUUACAUAGCCGACCUGAGAGGGGGCGCGGCCAAAUUGGGACUGGGACACGGCCCAAACCCCUGCGGGAGGCAGCAGUAGGGAAUCUUCGGCAAUGGACGAAAGUCUGACCGAGCAACGCCGCGUGAGUGAAGAAGGUUUUCGGAUCGUAAAACUCUGUUGGUAGAGAAGAACGUUAGUGAGAGUGGAAAGCUCAUCAAGUGACGGUAACUACCCAGAAAGGGACGGCUAACUACGUG